rnacentral:rRNA from 1 species
AUUGAACGCUGGCGGCAUGCUUUACACAUGCAAGUCGAACGGCAGCGCGGGCUUCGGCCUGGCGGCGAGUGGCGAACGGGUGAGUAAUACAUCGGAACGUGCCCAGUAGUGGGGGAUAGCUCGGCGAAAGCCGGAUUAAUACCGCAUACGACCUGAGGGUGAAAGCGGGGGAUCUUCGGACCUCGCGCUAUUGCAGCGGCCGAUGGCAGAUUAGCUAGUUGGUGGGGUAAAGGCCUACCAAGGCGACGAUCUGUAGCUGGUCUGAGAGGACGACCAGCCACACUGGGACUGAGACACGGCCCAGACUCCUACGGGAGGCAGCAGUGGGGAAUUUUGGACAAUGGGCGAAAGCCUGAUCCAGCAAUGCCGCGUGUGUGAUGAAGGCCUUCGGGUUGUAAAGCACUUUUGGCGGGAAAGAAAAGGACUGUGCCAAUACCACGGUUCGAUGACGGUACCCGAAGAAUAAGCACCGGCUAACUACGUG